rnacentral:lncRNA from 10 species
UAUAUUUAAGUAUCUCCGCUACUUCACUCGCACUAUCCUUGAUGCUAGACUGCAUCUGGACACUUGUCACAUUGCCAACUGGGUCUGACAGUCAUCGCCAGGACUGCCUGGGCCUGUGUUCAUUCCCAGUCAAUGAGUCCUGGGACACAGACGUCCCGGACUCGUGCCCGGUGCCAGGCCUCAUGCCCGCCCAAGGAUGAAGACAUACCUGCCAUCACCAUGCAAGUGCCGGGAGCUCUUCUCAGGGCUUAUGUGUGGGAACACGAGUAAUCCCACACCCUAGGAGGUGGCACUACUCUUACCCCAGUGUGCAGAUGAAGAUCAGAGGCCAGAAAAGGGGGGUGACUUCAGUCACACAGCAAGCAUGUGGCAGAGCUGGAGUCCAGGUCGUCAUUCUGAGCCUGCCCCUGGCUGGGCCAUUGUGCUUUGUCACCUCUCUACAGAAGGAAGCUGAUCAGUAUCUCCUUUGGGGACCUGAACCCUUUCCCCCUACGCCAGAUCCGGAACCGACGCGCCUACCACUUGGAGAAAGUCCGGCUGGAGCUGACCGAGCUGGAG